AGGUGGUGGUAACACCUCACCCUGAAUCCCCUGUGGAAAGAAAGAGCCAUGAUUAAGCUGAAAUUCCCGGAAAACAGGAACUGAAACAAGUUGAAGAAACAAAAGAAGAUCCUGAGAAUAGAUUAUCUGAAAUUUCCCUGGAGUCAUUCAAUAAAUUUAACAGCAAUACUGUGAUUUUAUUAGAAAAAGAGAAGUCUCCAAGUGAGGUUGAAGGACAAAAGGAAGAGACAGGCAAAAAGACAGAAAUAUCUUUGAGUAGCUCAGAUAGGCCUGGGGCGGACCACGUGGAGUCUCUGAGCGACUCUCUGUAUGACAGCUUCUCCUCUUGUGCAAGUCAAGCUUCCAAUGACAUCUAAGGAGGCACCACUCAGUGAACCUCAUGCCUGGUACACUAGGAAGACAGACUCUGGAGCCGGGGAAGCAGGAGGACUAACUCCAGAGGAGCUGAUAGCAGCCAGUACGCCGGAGUUUACUUCUCUCACGGACUGAUAAAGAGGAUUAAAAAGCAAAAUAUGAUGGAGAAGUCUCAAUGUUUGCACUUUUUUGAGUUUUUGUAUAAAAGCUGUACAUUUUUGGGGGAAGAGAAAUUAUAUUUGUAGGGGGAGAAAGAUAGCAAUAAAAAGAGUUGUCGCCAUGCUCUUGAGACGAUACAUUAAGUUCUAGAAGUCGAUAAUAUAUUUUUUAAAAAACCCAACUAAAGAUUUUGUGAACCUAAUCACCUUGGUCCUCAAGUCAUUUGUGCAUAUACUGUGUCAAUCUAAGUGUGAGGCAGGCAGAAAAGCCAGAGGGGUUGAGUCAUCUCUGUUUCUCAAAGUUCUCUCUCUCUCUCUCUCUCUCUCUCUCUCUCUCUCUCUCUCUCUCUCUCUCUCAUAGUUUGAAGGGUGGUCCAAUUUCCACAUAAUCUCGAGGAAAACUAAAGUUGUGAUGAUAUAGGUAUUCUGUUGAAGAGUUAAGAAGCGUGGGCACUGAUUAGGUGCCACCGGAUGGUGCUGAUGCGGAAGGGAGCAGAUCUUACCAGGCUUCACUCCAAACCUCUUCCAUCCUCUCCAUUGUAUUUCUCACAAUUCCAAGUGUUUGUUGUUGUUGUUUAAUCUCCCUGCUUUUUUAGUUAUUAUUAAAAACCUGGGUACUCUAUUUGCCAUAUCUACUUUAUAAAAAUAAAUGAAUGGUUGGUGCUAUGAAACUUUCUUACUUUUUAAUAUCCUUUUUUCUAUUAAAGACUGUUUAUAUGGGAGGAUAAAUUCUAUUUUAAAGGUUAUGUGUAUUUUUUCUAGACGUGAACUAUUUAUAAUUCCUUCUGUACAGAAGCCUGCAGACCAGGCAGGGUAGAGCUAUGUUUAGGAUUUGUGUGGUCACCUUAGCACACUUGUAUCUUUACAGAGUAUUGUAUGACCAGUGUUAUUGUAUUUGUGCAAUUUGUUGUAUUUGGAUUUCAUUACCUUAAAUUCAAGCUUCGUAAAGCAUCCUUGUCUUUCGGACUUUAAAAAUCCUUUUGUUUCAUUUCAUUUCAUUUCGGAAUAAACGUCUUAUCACAAUUACACCCUCUAAAAGCAGAAAAGAACUUUGUUCAAGGAG